rnacentral:lncRNA from 1 species
GUUCUUGGCCAUAGACAUCCCAGUGCUGUGGAGGCAGUGUUUACAGGAAACAUUCCCUCUUUUUUUUUGCAGUUCAGCUGGUCGAAGACAUCUCAUUAUCUGCCUUGCUUGCAUGUCUGCAUUUGCAGGGAAGAAAAAGUCACCGCAAAGCUCCCGACGCGGGAGCAGCGGGAGGCUGCGAUAGCCGCAGCCACGGCUGGGGGCGAGCGGAGCUCUCUGUGCCAUUAUUGUUCUCUGCUCCAAGCUGGAAGCAGCCGAGAAGGACUCACAGCCCGUCCCUCUGCAAUCAUCCCCCGGGACCUGAGCGAACCUUCUGCGCUGCGGGGUGUGCACCAAAGCCAGCAACAGCAAUUUUUUUUUUUGUGGGAAAAUAAAGACAGAAUCCUCCACCUGAAUUUAGAGUCAAUAUCCAGUUCUUUCACAGUGAUUGCUCAGCAGUGAUCGACAUUUCAACUGUGUUUAAAAGGACAAGUAAAGAAAUACAGGAGGGGAGUAUGAGAAUUUCCAGGGCCAGUGCAGGGUGUGCUGAAGGAGAAAACAAUGCAGAGAUUGCCCCCCUGGUCAGAUCCUCAUGGGUACAAUUAAACUUCUUAGAGGGCUCUUAUUAACAGGGUUUGGGACAGUCAGAGGAUGUUCCCCCUGGGAGCAGUGAUCUCUCUCACAGAUUCCUCUCCAAACCUGAGUCAGAGCAGUCUGGUACUUCAGUGUGUAGCAAAUACCACAGGUGACGACUUUGAAAUACUCAUCAGCAAUUUUAGUGGUGAGUACAUAUGGAAGUGAGAUGAAGGAAAAGUCAGAAAACACUUUUAGCUUGCCUAACACUCCCCUUCCUAAUAGAGAUGACAGACUUGAAAAGUUACGCUAUGUAAACUGUCCAUUUCUGAUCAUACCAUAAUGUCCCCAUGGCCCAUGAAAAUGCCCACUUUGAUCAUAGUAUUUAAUUGUUUUAGCUUUUGGUAAAUCAUCUGCUACAGCCUGUUGAACAUUUUAAAGCAUUUCUUGCUAAUGGAUUUUCACAAUGUAGUUCAAGGGAUGUUGUUAUUAAUAAAUGUUACUGCACUGAAUAGUAAUUUGCUAAG